CACUCCUACGGGAGGCAGCAGUGGGGAAUUUUGGACAAUGGGGGCAACCCUGAUCCAGCAAUGCCGCGUGAGUGAAGAAGGCCUUCGGGUUGUAAAGCUCUUUUGUCAGGGAAGAAACGGUAGUAGCGAAUAACUAUUACUAAUGACGGUACCUGAAGAAUAAGCACCGGCUAACUACGUGCCAGCAGCCGCGGUAAUACGUAGGGUGCAAGCGUUAAUCGGAAUUACUGGGCGUAAAGCGUGCGCAGGCGGUUGUGUAAGUCAGAUGUGAAAUCCCCGGGCUCAACCUGGGAAUUGCAUUUGAGACUGCACGGCUAGAGUGUGUCAGAGGGGGGUAGAAUUCCACGUGUAGCAGUGAAAUGCGUAGAUAUGUGGAGGAAUACCGAUGGCGAAGGCAGCCCCCUGGGAUAACACUGACGCUCAUGCACGAAAGCGUGGGGAGCAAACAGGAUUAGAAACCCGUGUAGUCCCAUG
rnacentral:rRNA from 1 species